UGUUGAUUUAAAGAUCAUCUUUGAAUUUAUGCAACAUCAAAGUCGAUUCGUUAACAAUAAAAAUGAAACAAUUUUUCGCUAUCUGUGUCUUUGCCUUUUCAUUUGCCUCAGUCUUUGCAAUUGAAUGUCAAGAAUGCAACAGAUCGGUCAAGACAAGUAUUCAACCUGAUAAUUGUCCUAAACCCAAUCGACUUUCACAAAACUUGACCUUAAUCAAGUAGGAAUUGUUUCAUUGAAAUCAAACAAUCAGUUUUCAUGUCAUAUCUCAAUGAAAAUAUUUGUCUUCUUUUUUAACAGUAUCUCGGUACUUGGUAUGUAAUAAAGUCAACCAAACCAUACUUCGAAGAUGGUCUACGGUGCCUUCAAGCUGACUAUAAGUUUGACACAACUACAGGUACCUUUGUUACUAACAGCACUGGCUUUGAUAUUUUUAACGAUACAGUUUCAAGAGUUCAAUCCGCCAAGUCAUAUGUUCAAGACAACGUCUUCACAGCCAAAUAAUACUUCCUCACCGCUUUCUAUUUCCUCACCACACAAUAUUGGGUUGUUGAUACUGAUUACAAUAACUAUGCCUUAGUUGUCUCAUGUAACGAUGUUCUUGAUCUCCUAAACUGCCGUGAUGUUUGGAUACUUUCAAGGAAAACAACAUUAGACGACAAUAUUGUCAAAAAUCUGGUUCCUAAAUUAGACUCGGGUGGAAUUCAUGACAUUAAACUAGUUGACAUGGUUCAGAAUUGUUGAUUCAAAUCAUAGAAUAAGCUAUUACCGAUAAACCCGAUUCAAAUUUUAAGCUAUUGAUCCUAACCCGAACAAAAUUUACCUGUCAGUCCUCAAAAAUUAUUCAAUUUAUUGAUGGAAUGCUUUAUUCUGGAAGCUCUGCAUUAUAAUAAAAUUACUUAACAUUAUGUUUAUACAUUUUCAUGUAUUCAACAACUUAUUCACUAACAUAAAUCUCA